GACGAACGCUGGCGGCGUGCUUAACACAUGCAAGUCGAACGAAGAGCGAUGGAAGCUUGCUUCUAUCAAUCUUAGUGGCGAACGGGUGAGUAACGCGUAAUCAACCUGCCCUUCAGAGGGGGACAACAGUUGGAAACGACUGCUAAUACUGCAUACGAUCUAACCUCGGCAUCGAGGAUAGAUGAAAGGUGGCCUCUACAUGUAAGCUAUCACUGAAGGAUGGGAUUGCGUCUGAUUAGCUAGUUGGGGGGGUAACGGCCCACCAAGGCGAUGAUCAGUAGCCGGUCUGGGAGGAUGGACGGCCAAAAUGGGACUGAGACACGGCCCAGACUCCUACGGGAGGCAGCAGUGGGGAAUCUUCCGCAAAGGACGAAAGUCUGACGGAGCAACGCCGCGUGAGAGAUGGCGGCAUUCGGGUUGUAAAGCUCUGUUAAUCGGGAAGAAAGGCCUUCUUGCGAAUAGUAAGAAGGAUUGACGGUACCGGAAUAGAAAGCCACGGCUAACUACGUG
rnacentral:rRNA from 1 species